rnacentral:lncRNA from 1 species
AUGGUGAAGGUCGAAAGGUCUCGUAAUCGCACAGUUGUUCCAUCGAUCGUGCACAGUCUUCCAAUUCUGAUUCUCUUCCUCCUUACCUCUGUCGCCUCAUUGCAAGGUUAUACAUUGCCAGAGGAAGCACAACAUGUUGCUGACAGUGAAGGUAUUUGGAAAGCAAUUGAAUCUGCAGAAGAGAAAGCUUUAGGAAAUGGACAAGGAUACAACCAAAACUUGGCACUUUCUAUGGACAAGACAAUGCCGAAACCGUGGGAAAUGAGAGACCAGACAUAUUUUGGAGAUAGACAAGGGUACACACCAAAUACGGCAAAAUCUCUGGACAAGGCAACAAUGAAACAGUGGGUAAUGAGAGACCAGACAGAAGAGGGAGGUCGUGAAAGUGAGGUGCAGGAUGAUGUAAAUGCAUAUAGCGAGGACUGGAGAAGUAGAGAGGUUGAGAAACAAAAAGAGGUCGUACAUGAUUCUACAGAAGACAAAGGCAACGUGAGCAACAAAGGAGAUACGCAUGAAGAAGGAGAUGCAGAAAGCUUGGCUAAACUUCUGGAGACUGCACUUUUGAAUCAGUGGAUAGAGGAACAGCCAAGUGAGGAUAAAGUAACUGGAUAUCCAGGUACAGAGAUACCGGGGGAGAGUGAGGAAAACAACUGGGGGGAAGAGGGAGAAACAUCCGAAGAUUCACAAGUUUGGAAAACGUGGUGGGAAGAGGACAAUAACAAAACUGAAAAAGAACAAAAGGAAGACAUUUUGUGGGAAGAGGAUACAACUCGCAAAACAGAAACAGGUAAAACAGAAAUGGGAAAGACUGGAGGUGCGGACGGAGACGGAGUUACUGUUGGAGGAGAGGGGGAUGGAAGUGCAGGAGGAACAAAGGAAGUUACUGAAGGAAAGACUGGAGAUGAAGUCGGGGUAAAAGGAGAUGAAGAAUAUCAAACAGAAAAUUUCCAGUUGAACACUGAACAGAAUUGGGGGAAAUGGAAGAAAGUUGAAGAAGAUCAAGAGAAUAAAAACAUUUUCGAAGGAAAAGACAAUUAUACUCAAGUCACGAAAAAUACAAGCUGGAAUCCAGGCAUUGAACUUGACCCAGUUUUCCUCUUUGUGAUCAUGGCACUGGGAAUUGCAGUUGUCAUCAGUGCAUUUGUCACCUUGAUCUGGUUCUUGAAAUCACGACAACACGUGGGUUUCCACCGAAUCAAACAAACAGAUGAUGACAUGGAUGAACAAAUGGAAGAUGAUCCAUUCAACCAUUAUCACAAAUAGAAAAAGAACUUAAGUUAGCUCACCAGCUCGCUUGGAUGUUUGGGUCUUCGUGGUAUUUUCAAUAUGCCGGUCAUGGUUAUAGUUAAACAAUUCUAGAGAGGAAGAAAGGAAAGGGUAGGAAGUACGGGAACAUACAUCGUUGAGUUAUUUUAUCAGGUUAUAGUUCAACAAUUCUGGGUAACAUACAUCGUUGAGUUAUUUUAUUAAUGAAUGUCGGUUGGAUGAGAAAAUGGGGUUCCAUGGGGAUGAAACUCUUCUUUGUGGAAUCACUGAAGUUACAAUGACACAUUUGCAUAUUCCUUCAAAAACGAUUCAUUGAAUCUUCAGCUUUUUGUUGGUCACAUGAAUUAUCAAUGCUCUUAUUACACUUUAUAAAAUGUUCUUUGUGGAGGAUUCCGUUUGUGUCCAUCUUAGUCACGAUUGGUGGAAAUGACAAAGGUGUGACGGAGCAAAGGUGGAUGAAGAAAACCUUAAAAUCACCCCCAAGCCACCAUAUUAAUCAUAUUCAUUCGUGCUGACGAUUUCAGGCUUGUGAAGAGGCAUCUAAUAAACUCAAUACAAGGUGCGGUAUAUCAAAACAUAGGGGCAAUACCCCUUGGGUGCUCACCUGCUAGUGGCUGGAGAAGAUAACCAGGGAACCACUGGAAGGCGUGGAUGACCCACAAAAUAUAUAAUGGAGAAGAAAGUAAAUGCCUAUGGAUUUUUUUUAAUGUCAUGAACAAACCUUGGUACAUCACGGGUGAUGAAGGUUGUGAUUAAGUUUCAUCGAAAUCUUAUGUGUAGUCUCAGAGAAGAAGUUGCAAGUAUUUGUGAAUGAACCGAUUGACUGACGGAUGAUGCGCCAAUCCCAAAAGCUCCCCGGUACUACAUUCCAGGUGAGCUAAAUAAAACAAACAUCCCAUGGAAAAAUUUCCAUGAAGGCGUUAACACACAUCUACAGGGUCGUAAAAACCAAAUCCAACUUCUUGAUCCUCGAUAAAUUUUAAAAUAUCUGGGAUAAAAAUAAAAGUCGAAAUGAAUUAGAUGGUAUUCAUAGAAUUCACACCCCGUGCAGUUUCGAGAAGGACUUGGUGCGAGCCGACUCUUUUGUCACCAAACCAACUCAAAUCCACAUAGCUUUGUCAUAACUCGUCCACAACUUUUUGAAAUACGAUUGUACGAGGUUUUUAACCUUCUCUCUCAAGUUUAGAAAUCUGGCCCAUGUUGACAUUUUGACCGCAACAAUAAUUAGUGGUUGAUUUCAGUAACCUCAUGUGCAAAUCCUCUUCAAAUUUCAAGUCAAUCAGAUUUUAAAAAAAGACAAUUUUAGAAAUUGGGCCCUUGUUGACCUUUUCGCCUAUAUUGACCUCAAAAUAAUUGGUGGUUGAAUGAAAUGAGAUGAUGUGAAAAUCUUGUUCAAAUUUCAAGUGAAUCGGAUGAAAAAUGAGGAUUUCAGAAAUUUGGCCUAUGUUGACCUAAAAGUAGUUAGUGGUUGAAUUCAGACUUGAUGUGCAAAUCCUCUAAAAAUUUCAAGUCAAUCAGAUCAAAAUUGAGUAUUUUAGGAAUCGGCCUAAGUUGAUCUCAAAAGAGUGACCGCGAGAUCACAUGGUCAUGUAACAUUUGGUAAAGUUUCAAUUUCUUCCGCUGAACAGUUUUCGAUGUACCCUCUUAACAAAAUGCAGACACGUACGAUGGGCGUACGACGUACGACGUAUGCCGUAUGCCACCGAUCGCUUAACCCCACUUUUUACUUCACUAGCGCAUGUUAAUGAAACAAUUAAAACAAACAGACAAACAAACGGACACAAAUACAAUACCCUCUCCUCUGGCGAGGCGUACGAGAACGGCACUCGGUAGAGUACAUACUAUCCUGGAAUGGCCUACAUGUCCAGAUUCUUGAAGAAGAAUGUUCCAGGAAAUUUAACCAACACUCACAGAGGUUUAAAUCAUUUUCUUAAUUUAAAUCACUCCAACAGCAUCGGUAAAAAAAAA